rnacentral:rRNA from 1 species
AGUAACACGUGGAUAACCUACCUAUAAGACUGGGAUAACUUCGGGAAACCGGAGCUAAUACCGGAUAAUAUAUUGAACCGCAUGGUUCAAUAGUGAAAGACGGUUUUGCUGUCACUUAUAGAUGGAUCCGCGCCGCAUUAGCUAGUUGGUAAGGUAACGGCUUACCAAGGCAACGAUGCGUAGCCGACCUGAGAGGGUGAUCGGCCACACUGGAACUGAGACACGGUCCAGACUCCUACGGGAGGCAGCAGUG